UACGUAGGGUGCAAGCGUUAAUCGGAAUUACUGGGCGUAAAGCGUGCGCAGGCGGUUUUGUAAGUCUGUCGUGAAAGCCCCGGGCUCAACCUGGGAAUUGCGAUGGAGACUGCAAGGCUUGAAUCUGGCAGAGGGGGGUAGAAUUCCACGUGUAGCAGUGAAAUGCGUAGAGAUGUGGAGGAACACCGAUGGCGAAGGCAGCCCCCUGGGCCAACACUGACGCUCAUGCACGAAAGCGUGGGGAGCAAACAGG
rnacentral:rRNA from 1 species